UACGUAGGGUGCGAGCGUUGUCCGGAAUUAUUGGGCGUAAAGCGCGUGUAGGCGGCCAGAAAAGUCCGCUGUGAAAACUCGAGGCUCAACCUCGAGCUGUCGGUGGAAACUUUCUGGCUAGAGUCCGGAAGAGGAGAAUGGAAUUCCUGGUGUAGCGGUGAAAUGCGCAGAUAUCAGGAAGAACACCGGUGGCGAAGGCGGCGACCUGGUCCUUGACUGACGCUGAGGCGCGAAAGCGUGGGGAGCAAACAGG
rnacentral:rRNA from 1 species